AAAAUGCUCAUUUAUUUUAUUGAGAUCAGCAGUAGUGAGUGGCAAUAUGCCACAUUUCUGCAUUCACAGUAACUAGGAUUCACUAAGCACCUAAGGCUCAUGUCCUUUGGAGCGGGUGAGUGCCCUCCCCACAACAAAUAGUAAAAACAGAAAUGUUUAAUUACGUAGCACUAGAUUGACAUAGGACUAAUGUUUGCAUAGGUCUUGCAUUAUCAUCAACAAUAAACCUCUUUUCCAUUUCAGGAGAUUGUUAUGGUUUUCUGUGGAGCUGUCUUGCUGACUUUACAACCCACUGACCUUUUUGAUGUUGUUGGGAAAAAUUUGCCAAUCUUCUCAGUGAUGAUCAUCGUGACAUGAAACAUACAACUUCAUGGACAAUAAUAUCCCUGAUAAAAUGCCAUACUGCAUCGUGAAAGGGUGUCCUCACCGAACAGGUGAAAAAGAAAAAUAUCCCGAUGUGGUUCUACAUCCAUUUCCAAGUGAUAUUCAUUCAAUUAAAAAAUGGUAAAUGCAAACCGGACAACAUAAUGAAGAUAUUGAGAUCAUUUCAGAUUCAAUAAAAAUCUUGACUGGUGAGAUCACCAAUGAAUGGCUUUCUAUGUCAAAAAGGAUGCCCAAAAAUAUUGCUACUUGUGAAAGACCAGCAAAAUCGGAAGUAAUUGAGCGAUAUUUGUCCCGCUUUGAAAAAUCCUGACAUAUGUCAAAGGACUAGCAACGUGCACAUAAAUAUUCCAUAUUACCUUUAUAGUAAUGUAGAUAAGUAAUAAAAGUCACGAGACAAAGA